GUUGAUUGACAGUUGAGAGGCAGAACUAAAGAGCUAAAGUUCAACCCCCCACAAACACAACUAGUAUGACCACUGAUGUAAAGUGAAUAAAUCCACAAGGGCCAUGAUGAGGAUUCGAACAUACGUCCAGGAUGAUCACGCUAUUGUGAUUUCUGUGUGUACUGAGAUCCAGCUUAUGGCCGGCAGCAUGAAUUAUCUUUACACACUCGGGGACUACACCGAUGGCAUUUUUGGCAUUUUUAGUAAGAACCUCCAGACUCUGAGGCCUGAUGACAUGAAACUGAGAUUUGUAGUCUGUCUCCAU